UCGUCCUCGGGCAUGGGUGGAUUGGCUCGCUUGGGUGGAAUAUUGCUACAACACCUCCUACCAUUCCGCCUGCCACACCAUUUGAGGUGUCUACGGUCGUCCGCCACCGCCCAUCUUGCCGGUUGAUCCAGCAACCGCUCGGAUGGAGGCUGGGGGGAGCUUCUCCACGACCGCGACGAGAUGCUUGCUGAGGUGCGGCAACGUCUCGUUCAGGCCCAGCAGCUCGCCAAGCACUACUACGACGGUCAUCAUCGCGAGGUGGCCUAUGCGGUGGGAGACUGGGUGUGAUUGCGACUUCUUCAUCGAUCCACCCAGUCCCUCGAUCCGCGUGCAAGGCGCAAGCUUGGACCUCGCUACGCUGGCCCCUUCGUCAUCUUGGAGCGCGUGGGCACACUUGCAUAUCGCCUUGAGCUGCCAGAGGGCUCCCGCAUCCAUGAUGUCUUUCACGUGGGUCUGAAGCCCUACCGUGGGGAGCCACCGGCAGCGCCAGCAGCGUUACCGCCGAUCGCCGAUGGUCGUCUUUUUCCGAGCCCGGCGAAGGUGUUACGUGCUCAGCUCCGUCGCGGCAUUUGGUACUUGCUGGUGCAGUGGGAAGGCCUUCCGGAGGAGGAGGCUACUUGGGAGAAGCGCGAGGAGUUCAGCCAACACUACCCCGACUACCAGCUCGAGGACGAGCUGUUUGCACAUGCGGGGAGAGAUGUUAUGACCGGUAUUGGUUAUGUUAGGAGAGGGCCCAACCAUGGACCCAACUAGGGGCUUAGCCCAUUAUCAGUUUAGGGUUUAACUCUUUAUAUACUGGAUGUAACGAUGCAAACAGGCAAGCAAUAAUCAUAUUCAUUAUUGCCGACUCCCUGAGGAGUCGGUCUCCUAAACCUAGCCGCCGCCCUCCUCUUCUCAGCCGUGCACGACGGCGCCCUGCCGCCGGCGUCCGCCGCCUCGUUCGCACACCACUCCCUCCUUCCCCUACAAACUACGCCCUAGGCCCGGUAGAGCUGUUGGUUCUACCACUAUUUCAAGAAGUAAAUGGUUUAAAACAUUCCAUAUUGUAAUAUGACUACUAAUAUUUACAGUUUCCACCUUUUCGUCCUAGAUUAAUCUUAUGUUUCAAGCAGACGGCACCAUUUAGUUGUUGCAGGGAAGGAUGAUCAACUCCUGCCUCCAGCCCGGCGUGUUCUUCUAUAGUCGACCGCUGGUAUUCUCCAUACAAAACAUGGGUUUUGGUUCUUGCUCCAGGUACAGGCCUUGUUGGAAGAGAAGGAAUUUUGCGCAUCAAUAAACAGCAAGCUGUGCAUCUAAGAAGUAUAACCACUCAUCAUCAGUGUGCCAAGCAAGGAGCUCAUCAUUCUCUCGUGUGUGCCCAUCAUUGGCAACUCCAAGACAUGGGAACACUGACACCACACCACCCACCACACAACUUGCAGUUUGUUAUGGUUCUCUGUUUGAAGGAUUUUUGUUGUGCGUGUAGGGCUGAAGAAGAUAUCUUGAUACAAUGUCUAUGAGCUGAAAUAAAUUGGCGCCUACGGCGCUUCCCUUUGUGCAAAAAAAAAAAAGAUAUCUUGAUGCAGCCUCUCCAUUGUAAAUGCCUGGGGAACUACAGACCACAUGUGCAGUUCUUUCCUAGGCAAGUAGGCUGCUGAUACUGCACUAUUCUUAGAACCUUUAUGGUUGUCCAACCCACAUUGGCAUUGUACUUAGGAAUUAUGACGGUUUAGCUUCACUUUGUUUGAGAUGUCCCUA